CCUACGGGCGGCAGCAGUGAGGAAUAUUGGUCAAUGGGCGAGAGCCUGAACCAGCCAAGUCGCGUGAAGGAUGACGGCCCUACGGGUUGUAAACUUCUUUUGUCAGGGAGCAAUUGAGUCCACGUGUGGUCUUAGCGAGAGUACCUGAAGAAAAAGCAUCGGCUAACUCCGUGCCAGCAGCCGCGGUAAUACGUAGGGGGCAAGCGUUAUCCGGAUUUACUGGGUGUAAAGGGAGCGUAGACGGUUAUGUAAGUCUGGAGUGAAAGCCCGGGGCCCAACCCCGGGACUGCUUUGGAAACUGUGUAACUGGAGUACAGGAGGGGCAGGCGGAAUUGCUGGUGUAGCGGUGAAAUGCGUAGAUAUCAGGAGGAACACCGGCGGCGAAGGCGGCCUGCUGGACUGAAACUGACGUUGAGGCUCGAAAGCGUGGGGAGCAAACAGGAUUAGAUACCCGAGUAGUC
rnacentral:rRNA from 1 species